CCCCACUGCAUCAGGCAGGGGCAAAGGGAACACCAAAUGCAGUGUGAAGUCAGCUUUGGGCUACCUUUUGGAUAUAAAACCGACUGGAACCAGCAUUUCCAGUGUGCUGAACAAUCAUCCUGAUAGAUCAGUAGAACAUCGCCAGCCCCACUUGGUGUGCAUUGGAGAUCCCUCCGCCUCCGCCCAAUACAUCAUUGUUCCAGAAAACGACUUGCCAUUUCUCUUAAGGAAAACGGUUUGAGAAGUUAUGCACAUUUUACCAGAAAGUGAAAAUCAAAAUGUUUUUCUUAAGGAUACUUGUUACAAAGUUUUUCCAUAACCAUUUCCAUGCAAUUGCUGUCCAGAGAACAGAGGACUUUAAACUAAUUAGUUUAAGAGAUUUAAUUGAUUUUAGACCAAUACAUUUGAUAUUUUUUAACAAUGAUAUUUUUGUAAACCCUCGCUAUGAACUUGUGUAAUGUUUAUGUGUACAAUAUUUGUAAUAAAUAAUACAUAAUUUCA